rnacentral:rRNA from 1 species
UGGGGAAUAUUGCACAAUGGAGGAAACUCUGAUGCAGCGAUGCCGCGUGAGGGAAGAAGGUUUUAGGAUUGUAAACCUCUGUCUUCGGGGACGAAAAAAAGACGGUACCUGAGGAGGAAGCUCCGGCUAACUACGUGCCAGCAGCCGCGGUAAUACGUAGGGAGCGAGCGUUGUCCGGAAUUACUGGGUGUAAAGGGAGCGUAGGCGGGAUCGCAAGUCAGAUGUGAAAACUAUGGGCUUAACCCAUAAACUGCAUUUGAAACUGUGGUUCUUGAGUGAAGUAGAGGUAAGCGGAAUUCCUAGUGUAGCGGUGAAAUGCGUAGAUAUUAGGAGGAACAUCAGUGGCGAAGGCGGCCUACUGGGCUUUAACUGACGCUGAGGCUCGAAAGCGUGGGUAGCAAACAGGAUUAGAUACCCUGGUAGUCCACGCUGUAAACGAUGAUUACUAGGUGUGGGGGGGUCAACCUUCCGUGCCGGAGUUAACACAAUAAGUAAUCCACCUGGGGAGUACGACCGCAAGGUUGAAACUCAAAGGAAUUGACGGGGGCCCGCACAAGCAGUGGAGUAUGUGGUUUAAUUCGAAGCAACGCGAAGAACCUUACCAGGUCUUGACAUCCAACUAACGAGAUAGAGAUAUGUUAGGUGCCCCUCGGGGAAAGUUGAGACAGGUGGUGCAUGGUUGUCGUCAGCUCGUGUCGUGAGAUGUUGGGUUAAGUCCCGCAACGAGCGCAACCCUUACCAUUAGUUGCUACGCAAGAGCACUCUAAUGGGACUGCCGUUGACAAAACGGAGGAAGGUGGGGAUGACGUCAAAUCAUCAUGCCCCUUAUGACCUGGGCCACACACGUACUACAAUGGCUAUUAACAGAGGGAAGCAAUACCGCGAGGAGGAGCAAACCCCUAAAAAUAGUCUCAGUUCGGAUUGCAGGCUGCAACCCGCCUGCAUGAAGCCGGAAUUGCUAGUAAUCGCGGAUCAGCAUGCCGCGGUGAAUACGUUCCC